rnacentral:misc_RNA from 1 species
GAUGAAGAACGUAGCGAAAUGCGAUAAGUAGUGUGAAUUGCAGAAUUUAGUGAAUCAUCGAAUUUUUGAACGCAUAUUGCGCCCUAUAGUAUUCUGUGGGGCAUGCCUGUCUGAGCGUCAUUUCAACCCUCAUGCCCCUAGGGCGUGGUGUUGGGGAUCGGCCAGCGCCCGCGAGGGACGGCCGGCCCCUAAAUCUAGUGGCGGACCCGUCGUGGCCUCCCCUGCGAAGUAGUGAUAUUCCGCAUAGGAGAGCGACGAGCCCCUGCCGUUAAACCCCCAACUUUCUAAGGUUGACCUCAGAUCAGGUAGGAAUACCCGCUGAACUUAAGCAUAUCAAUAAGCGGAGGA